rnacentral:rRNA from 1 species
GACGAACGCUGGCGGCGUGCUUAACACAUGCAAGUCGAACGGUGAUGCUCCAGCUUGCUGGAGUGGAUCAGUGGCGAACGGGUGAGUAACACGUGAGCAACCUGCCCCAGACUCUGGAAUAAGCGCUGGAAACGGCGUCUAAUACUGGAUACGAAACUGGCCCGCAUGGGCAUGGUUUGGAAAGUUUUUCGGUUUGGGAUGGGCUCGCGGCCUAUCAGCUUGUUGGUGAGGUAAUGGCUCACCAAGGCGACGACGGGUAGCGGCCUGAGAGGGCGACCGGCCACACUGGGACUGAGACACGGCCCAGACUCCUACGGGAGGCAGCAGUGGGGAAUAUUGCACAAUGGGCGAAAGCCUGAUGCAGCGACGCCGCGUGAGGGAUGACGGCCUUCGGGUUGUAAACCUCUUUCAGCAGGGAAGAAGCGAAAGUGACGGUACCUGCAGAAGAAGCACCGGCUAACUACGUG